rnacentral:lncRNA from 1 species
GUGGAAAUAAAAUUGUAAAAAUGAUAAUAAAAAGCAGAAAUUAACACUUUCGGCAAGAACUGCAUGUAACUCAAAAAGAGCUACAUACAGCUCUCGGAGUUGCAUUUGCCCAUGUCUGUUAUAUAUUAUUGAAAAAUAUGAUGCUCAGUUUUUAGUAGAGUUGUUACUAAUUAUUUUUGUAUUUAUAACUUUAUAACACUAUAACUUAAUUUUAAUGAAAAAUAACAUCUUGCAUACUUUUCUUAAUAAGAAUUAGCAUUUAUCACAUCAAAAUUUUUCACUACUGGAAUAUUUUAUUAUUUGAAAAUUAUUUUAUUUAGUACAGUAGAAGUUCCAUAAUUUCACAUUUUGUGUAUUUACAGUUCAAUAUUUGCAAAGCUAAAAUUCAUUUAUUCAAGGAAGUAUUGACAAUUUUAUGUUUAUUAGAAGAGUUUUAAUGCCGAAAGGUCAUCAUAUACUGUGUUGCAUAAGAAUUAACAAAAAUAACAAACUCAGUUAAGAAAGAAUGAUGUUUAAUCUGUUUAGUAUUAAUAUAAACAUAUUAUACUACAGUUUGUCUUCUUAUUGUCUGUUAACUAUACUAAUGAAUUUUAUCUCAUAAUUUCUUGGAUUAUUUUACUAUGUGCACUUAAGUUAAUAGUAAGCAUUAUGUUUUACAAUAAGUAAAGAGAAUGUCAGUGUUAUAAUAUCAAAAGGUCAUUCUUCUAUCCUUACAAAUCAAUAAUGUCAUCUAAACAAAACAGAGAAAUGGUAAAUUAUCCAAAAGAUCAAAGAAUGUGGUGUCCUUCAAAAACAAAUUUAAUGUAUUAGAUUAUAUACAGGAAAGAAAUUUAACAGCUAUUGUUUCUUACACUUUCAUUGUAAAUGAGUCUAUUAUCAGAUACAUUAAAAGAAAAAAGAAUGAGAUUAGAAAUAUGGCAGAAAAAUUUCUUUAUAUAAAAACACUUUUUUCAAUUUUUUAUUUAUUAAUUAUAUACUUUUUCAAAAUAUUCUUUCUUCUUGUAUUCACAGUAAUUCAUGGCAAUUUUAUAGAACGUAACCUUCAUGAAUAAGGAGCUUCUGCUAUAUUAUAUUCAUCUGUCAGAAUAUUAGGCUUGUUGGGAUUUCAGCACAUCAAGUUAUCAAAGUUGAAUUUAGCAUAUUGCUGUUUUACUUUUUAGGAUGCUGAAAAUUCAUGAAACAAUCUCCAAAAAUAUUUUAGAUUAAUAAAUAAAUUGUAAUUUUGAUAACAUUAUUUUAGAAAUUUAAAUAUAUUAACUUCUUAUUUUGUUUUUAUUACUAGAAUAUUUUCCUUAAAAUAAGAUAGUAAAGUAACAUUAAUGUUGUGCUCAAGAAUAAUUAGAUGAUCAUCCUAAGUUUUCUAUGAUGCUUUAUAAAUGUUGUCAUAAAUAACAACAUUUAUAAAAUCUUGUCCAUUUAUUAUUCUAUGUAGGUGCUUUCAAAAGCAUGAACUGCAUCCCCCAGAAAAUCCUGUUGUUUGUCAUCAAUCAGAAGGUAGAAAUACACAAUUUGUAAUUAAAUGCUGCAAUGGUUAUGACUACUGUAAUCGUGAUCUUUUUCCAACAUUAGCACCCCCUACUACCACCUCAGGUGUUUACAUAAAGAGAAGCACUUUCCUCCAGACAAACCACAUAUGUGUCACAAACCCAAGCCUGGAAUCAUAAAAGUCACAAUCUGCUGUAAUGAAUAUGAUUUUUGUAACAAGGACCUUCAUCCCACACUCCCUCCUGACCAUAGAUUUUCAGGUGCUUUCAAAAGCAUGAACUGCAUCCCCCAGAAAAUCCUGUUGUUUGUCAUCAAUCAGAAGGUAGAAAUACACAAUUUGUAAUUAAAUGCUGCAAUGGUUAUGACUACUGUAAUCGUGAUCUUUUUCCAACAUUAGCACCCCCUACUACCACCUCAGGUGUUUACAUAAAGAGAAGCACUUUCCUCCAGACAAACCACAUAUGUGUCACAAACCCAAGCCUGGAAUCAUAAAAGUCACAAUCUGCUGUAAUGAAUAUGAUUUUUGUAACAAGGACCUUCAUCCCACACUCCCUCCUGACCAUAGAUUUUCAG